AACGAACGCUGGCGGCAUGCCUAACACAUGCAAGUCGAACGAAGCCUUCGGGCUUAGUGGCGCACGGGUGCGUAACGCGUGGGAAUCUGCCCUUGGGUUCGGAAUAACAGUUAGAAAUGACUGCUAAUACCGAAUGAUGUCUUCGGACCAAAGAUUUAUCGCCCAAGGAUGAGCCCGCGUCGGAUUAGCUAGUUGGUGAGGUAAAGGCUCACCAAGGCGACGAUCCGUAGCUGGUCUGAGAGGAUGAUCAGCCACACUGGGACUGAGACACGGCCCAGACUCCUACGGGAGGCAGCAGUGGGGAAUAUUGGACAAUGGGCGAAAGCCUGAUCCAGCAAUGCCGCGUGAGUGAUGAAGGCCUUAGGGUUGUAAAGCUCUUUUACCCGGGAUGAUAAUGACAGUACCGGGAGAAUAAGCCCCGGCUAACUCCGUGCCAGUAGCCGCGGUAAU
rnacentral:rRNA from 1 species